rnacentral:rRNA from 1 species
CCUACGGGAGGCAGCAGUGAGGAAUAUUGGUCAAUGGACGAGAGUCUGAACCAGCCAAGUAGCGUGAAGGAUGACUGCCCUAUGGGUUGUAAACUUCUUGUAUAUGGGAAUAAAAUGUUCCACGUGUGGGAUUUUGUAUGUACCAAAUGAAUAAGGAUCGGCUAACUCCGUGCCAGCAGCCGCGGUAAUACGGAGGAUCCGAGCGUUAUCCGGAUUUAUUGGGUUUAAAGGGAGCGUAGGUGGAUUGUUAAGUCAGUUGUGAAAGUGUGCGGCUCAACCGUAAAAUUGCAGUUGAAACUGGCAGUCUUGAGUACAGGAGAGGUGGGCGGAAUUCGUGGUGUAGCGGUGAAAUGCUUAGAUAUCACGAAGAACUCCGAUUGCGAAGGCAGUUCACUGGACUGCAACUGACACUGAGGCUCGAAAGUGUGGGUAUCAAACAGGAUUAGAUACCCGAGUAGUC